rnacentral:rRNA from 1 species
UUGCCUACGGGACGCAGCAGUAGGGAAUUUUCGUCAAUGGGCGCAAGCCUGAACGAGCAAUGCCGCGUGAACGAGGAAGGUCUUCGGAUCGUAAAGUUCUGUUGAAGGGGAAAAAGAGCGGAGAGAGGAAAUGAACUCCGAUUGAUAUUACCCUUCGCGGAAGUCACGGCUAACUACGUGCCAGCAGCCGCGGUAAUACGUAGGUGGCGAGCGUUAUCCGGCAUGAUUGGGCGUAACGGGUGCGUAGGCGGCCUGCUAAGUCUGGAGUGAAAGGUACCGGCCCAACCGGUACAGGCUCUGGAAAC